rnacentral:tRNA from 1 species
GGUCAGGUGUCUGAGUAAAGAGGCAGGCUCUGAAGCCAGAAUGCCAGGUUCAAAUCCUGGCUUGACUA